CCUACGGGAGGCAGCAGUGAGGAAUAUUGGUCAAUGGACGAGAGUCUGAACCAGCCAAGUAGCGUGAAGGAUGACUGCCCUAUGGGUUGUAAACUUCUUUUAUAAAGGAAUAAAACGAGGCACGUGUGCCUUUUUGCAUGUACUUUAUGAAUAAGGAUCGGCUAACUCCGUGCCAGCAGCCGCGGUAAUACGGAGGAUCCGAGCGUUAUCCGGAUUUAUUGGGUUUAAAGGGAGCGUAGAUGGGUUGUUAAGUCAGUUGUGAAAGUUUGCGGCUCAACCGUAAAAUUGCAAUUGAUACUGGCAGUCUUGAGUACAGUUGAGGUAGGCGGAAUUCGUGGUGUAGCAGUGAAAUGCUUAGAUAUCACGAAGAACCCCGAUUGCGAAGGCAGCUGACUAAACUGUGACUGACAUUGAUGCUCGAAAGUGUGGGUAUCAAACAGGAUUAGAUACCCUUGUAGUC
rnacentral:rRNA from 1 species